UGUUAGAUUCAAACGUGGUAAUUUAGAGAUGUGGCGUUAAAUUUAUAGUGGGUACUACUGGUAAUUGGUUUAAGUUCUGAUACUUCAGGAAGCAUUCAGCUGUUCCAGUAUAUUGGCAAUAUGGUGUUCUAAUGGACGUGUGUCGAGAUUUGUGGACUGUUUUGUAACGAAGUCUGCGAGGAAGUGAAUCAAUGAUAAGUGGAAAUUCCUUAUGGGAUCCGCAUAGUAAUUUAGAAAUUUUUGUAAGCUACUGUGUGUCGAGCAUUAUCGUAACAAGGAAAUGAAGCGAUGAUGGAUAGAAAGAUGAUCGCGAUGAAACACGUAAGAAUUAUUAUACAUAUCUAAUUCGGUUAUUAGCGACAAUUAAAAAUAUUGUCCUACCAAAAAAUGUCAAACGAAGUAUCCCAAAAAUGUCAAGCAUGUUGACGUCACCAACAAACGAUAAAUUACACGAACAACGCAAUUUGGAAAUACCUGGAAGCUAUUAUGAGUAUAUUCCAGUCAUUUAAAG
rnacentral:misc_RNA from 1 species